UUUUUGUUUCUCUUAGCUUUUGUGUUUUCUGUUUUUGACCCUGCUCAUAGUUUCAAUUUUGAUUUAUGGAUUAUCCUUGUGUGAAGUUACCUGCCUGUGUUCUCACCUCUGUAGAGAUUAUGUAUAGAGACUAUGACACUUUCACUCAACACACUUUGUGUUCAGUGAUUUUACACUUUUGUGGCUUCUUGGUAACAUAACAAGCUAUGUUUUUGUUCUGUAGUUUUAUUAACUUGAUGAUAUAAAAUAAAAAGAGAAGGACAACUGUUUAUAGCUGCUAUAAGUUUGGACCAAGUUCCUGUGUGUAUAUAAAGGGCAAAUAUAACACAGAAGAAGAAGAAGAAGCACAUCAGGAGUCAUCAGCAGGAGCACCAGACUGCUUACAGCAGUGUUCUACAUUUUUUUUUCUUGUCCAACAUCUUUGCUGCAGCGGCAGUCAAAGCUUCCUGUCAGAUUGCAGUUUCUUUUUACACAUUGUUUUCACACUGUAAAAUGAGCGUUACUUUUUUUCAGUGUUAACAUUUUGUCUUGUCAACACUGGAAUCGGCACUGGACUCCAUUUCUCCCAAUGCACUACUGCCUACAAACAUGGACAUUACGGAGUACAACACCCAUGCACCGCGUUCAUUGUCACAUUCAGUCACUCAAUUUCUGAUAACACACUUGGGCCCAAUCCCAUUUCUACCCCUUAGCCCUUCCCCUUUCCCCUACCGCUCCGUUUCGCGUGUUCAUAUGAAGGGGUAGGUGUCUUGAUUCUCUUUUGGUUGGAGGGGUAGAGGUAAGGGGAAAGGCCAGACAGCCCUUCAAACGAAGAUUUUUCGGGACCACACUUCAAAUGAAGGGGUAUGAAUUCUCAGUGUGUGAACAAAAAGACCCACAAAUGUAAGCAUUAUUGACGUUAAUAAAGAUUUUAAUGAAUAUAAAUCAUUUGUUUUGUUACAUUCAAUCGUGUGUUCAUAUUUAUGGUGAUGUUAUUUUCAUAAACAUAUUUUCAUGUCUGAUGGCUGUAACCACAGAAGACAUUUAGAAAUCGAUAUUUAGAAAUCGCUAAACUUUUUUCUCAAAUAUUGCCAAUUCGAGAGAGAGAAUUAGGACCUAGAUGACGUAUGAUGACGUGUAACAGUAUAGUAGUGGUGUCCCGAUUCUUAGGGGAAUAUUUUCACCCCUACCCCUUGACACUCUGUUUCAAGGGACAAGGGGAAUGGGGUAGGCAUAGGGGUAGGGGUAGGGGUAGGUGAAGGGGUAUAAAAUAGAAUUGGGAUUGGGCCUUGGACUCUAUUACCACACACACUAUUUAAGCACAUUCACUGCAACAACCCAUUGCCAAGGUUUUGUUCAGUUCCUGUUCUCACCUGACAUACUAAGCCUUUGUUUGAUGGUUACUAAUUCUGGUUUGAACCCUUGUUUUUGCCUUUGACUUUUGUCUUGUUCUUUGAUAUCAAUUUGUACAGCAGCUGAUGAUCUGCCUGUUUAAUGUUCUUGAGCUUUGCCUCAUGAUUUGGAUUUGUUUACUAUUGCCAGUGAUUUUAAUAAAGAUCAUCCUCUGCAAUUAUUA